rnacentral:snRNA from 1 species
UCGCUUCAGCAGCACAUAUACUAAAAUUGGAACGAGACAGAGAUUAGCACGGCCCCUGCGUGAGGAUGACACCCAAAGUCGUGAAGCAUUCCACAUUUUC